ACCUGCCUGGUAGCGGGGGAUAACUAUUGGAAACGAUAGCUAAUACCGCAUAAUAGUAGAUGUUGCAUGACAUUUGCUUAAAAGGUGCAAUUGCAUCACUACCAGAUGGACCUGCGUUGUAUUAGCUAGUUGGUGAGGUAACGGCUCACCAAGGCAACGAUACAUAGCCGACCUGAGAGGGUGAUCGGCCACACUGGGACUGAGACACGGCCCAG
rnacentral:rRNA from 1 species